AACAAACAGACUGGAGAGAAUGGUCCAAAUAAUGCGGCUCGGGCUCAAUUUUGAUUUUCGAGUUGUUGUCAGAAAUGUUUUUGGCUUUUUGUUGGGCUUUCAACGCCUGCGCAAAAGUCAAGCGGUACAAGCGUCAUAAAUUGAACUACAACAUGCCAGCCAGUCAGACAGUCAGACAGCCAGCGAGACAAUAUACCAAAUGCCCGUAAAUCGACCAGAGAGCAACACGAACACUUUUGUCGUGCAUUUUGCGCCACACCCAGUAAACAAUUUAGUCAAUAUACAGUGCCGAUAUGCAUCAGCUCGUGGGUCGGUGUCUUUCUAUGCUAAACAGUCUGCUCUCGGCUCUAACUUAUUGAAUUUCACACGCAAAAUGGAGUAUGUCCCAUCGAUAAGCCCCCAGUUCCAGCAAGGUGAUCCGGAGAACCCCACCUAGAUCUCGAUGGGGCUCGAUGGUCGGUCAUGUGAGUCCGAUGCAGUUGGCUCCCCGCCCGAUUCUGUUUCAGAUCUGAUCACUCAGAGUCUCUGCCGACAAAGCCGCCAAAUUGCAGACACACAACCUUCAACACCAGCUCCAGCUGUGAUCUAAUGUAUUUGAUCUUGAUACGACUGUCAGAUAUAUAAAAACCUAUGCUGAAAAGGUUUAAAUAAAAAUUAAAUAGAA